rnacentral:lncRNA from 1 species
AACUUGGAACCACCGUGAGCUGGUUUUAGCUGACGAACUACGCCUUCUACUGUCCAAUAUUGCACACCACGACCUUUUCAAAUAAUAUUUCCCAGAAACACAGGCUGCCUGCGGGAAUGUGAAAAGUGAAAGUAACAACCUCAAACGAAAAUAGAUGCGACAUUGGGAGAUACUCGUGUCUUGAAGUAGCCUAUUAGCUUUUUAUUAUUUUGUCGACUUAUGCACCUCACAAGACUUUGCGGUUGUUCAGGCGGAAAGCUCAUUCUGAUCUGCUGGACUUUGCAGUGUUUCUCCAGUAUAGGUUGAACCGAUAUGGCAUGCUGAAAUCAUAUAGCACUGGGCGUCAGGCUGAUAAGUAGCAACCAUACUCCAUGCAGGUGCACAUUGAUUCGGCACACAGAACUUCUACUGACAAUCCCACUGGAGCAGAAAUAGUGAGUCUUCUACGUGAUAUAAAAGAGCCUCCUACGUGAUAAAAUAAUGGAGGAUGACAAGCGGAACACAGACACUCAGACUGAUGACCCUGGCGAGAAAUAUCUGAUAUGAGCUAGUAAAUUAAAGAGUUUCACGUAGAAAACACAUGUCAAUCUGAUUCACUAAAAAUACACUUAAGGUCCUGUGUUAUAUGUUGUGCCAUUUGAGCCCAAAGGUGUCAUAAAAUAACCUGAGAUAAUUUAAGAGCUACAGUGCAGUAUGCAAUAGUAUUCUAUCCAUUUUCUAUUAUUAUAUACUGUAUAUGGCAAUAUUAAUUCCUACUGUCAUCAAUCACAGGUUCCUAUUGAAUAAUCUUCAAAAUUAGUUUUUUGUCUUGUAUAAAAAGUGGAGGAUGACAAGCAGAACACAGACACUCAGCCUGAUGACCCUGGCUUUGUCUCUACGGAUCAACACAUGCAGACACAAGAAGCUGGAACAGGAAGGUUUCCAGCCAUCAUGUCAGUUUUGUCACAACUCUGGGCUCUUUCCAUGGUUCCUUAUAAAAUGGCAAGAGACAUUUUUUCCUGGGCAUGGGGAAGGAUUCAAGCCAUCAUUUCAUCAGUUUUGUCACAAAUCCGAUGGGCAUAUAAUACCUUCAGUAGAUAAAAGUGUAGAGGACCACCACAUGGAUUUGGACUGAGAAUAUGGACCUAACAAUAAAACAGUCAUAUUACAGUUGCA